CGCAGGGGAGUACGUUUUGCUAGGUGGGUCUGCGCUCGCCAAAUGUGACAACGGACAAAACCGCUAUUUAACAUUGGUUCACGUGCCACAUCUUCGAAAAGUUCCUCACGAUGCAGGAUACCGAACCGGACGUAUCUUUGAUCGAGGACGAAGUGGAUCCGUUUGAAAACAGCAUCGCCGAAAAGAUGCAAAUGGCGCGAAAUGUGGUUAAACAUUGCGAAAGAAUGCACAAUGGAAAUAUAAAACAGUCUAGUGAAAUCAAAAGUAUCAUUAAUUACACCGGAGUGUGCGAAGAUACUAUAAUAAUGGCCGAUAUGUCGCUACGAGCGGCGAAGACGUUCACGGAUUGGUUU